rnacentral:rRNA from 1 species
UACAGAGGGAGCAAGCGUUGUUCGGAAUUACUGGGCGUAAAGGGCGCGUAGGCGGUUCGAUAAGUCCCGUGUGAAAUCCCUCGGCUCAACUGAGGAAUGGCACGGGAAACUGACGGGCUUGAGUUCGGGAGAGGGAAGCGGAAUUCCGGGUGUAGCGGUGAAAUGCGUAGAUAUCCGGAGGAACACCGGUGGCGAAGGCGGCUUCCUGGACCGACACUGACGCUGAGGCGCGAAAGCCAGGGGAGCAAACGGG